rnacentral:rRNA from 1 species
UACGAAGGGGGCUAGCGUUGCUCGGAAUCACUGGGCGUAAAGCGCACGUAGGCGGGGCGUUAAGUCAGGGGUGAAAUCCUGGAGCUCAACUCCAGAACUGCCCUUGAUACUGGCGAUCUCGAGUUCGGGAGAGGUGAGUGGAACUGCGAGUGUAGAGGUGAAAUUCGUAGAUAUUCGCAAGAACACCAGUGGCGAAGGCGGCUCACUGGCCCGGUACUGACGCUGAGGUGCGAAAGCGUGGGGAGCAAACAGG